rnacentral:Y_RNA from 1 species
GGUUGGUCUGAGUGCAGUGGUAUUUACAACUCAUUGAUCACAGCCAGUUACAGAUUCCUUUGGCCUGCUGCACUCCCACUGCUUCACUUGACCAGCCUAAA